rnacentral:rRNA from 1 species
GACGAACGCUGGCGGCGUGCCUAAUACAUGCAAGUCGAACGAGAGCGACCGGUGCUUGCACUGGUCAAUCUAGUGGCGAACGGGUGAGUAACACGUGGGUAACCUGCCCAUCAGAGGGGGAUAACAUCCGGAAACGGAUGCUAAAACCGCAUAGGUCUUCGAGCCGCAUGGCUUGAAGAGGAAAAGAGGCGCAAGCUUCUGCUGAUGGAUGGACCCGCGGUGCAUUAGCUAGUUGGUGAGGUAACGGCUCACCAAGGCCGUGAUGCAUAGCCGACCUGAGAGGGUGAUCGGCCACAUUGGGACUGAGACACGGCCCAAACUCCGACGGGAGGCAGCAGUAGGGAAUCUUCCGCAAUGGAGGCAAGUCGGACGGAGCAACGCCGCGUGAGUGAAGAAGGUUUUCGGAUCGUAAAACUCUGUUGUUAGAGAAGAACAAGUGCUAGAGUAACUGUUAGCGCCUUGACGGUAUCUAACCAGAAAGCCACGGCUAACUACGUG